UACUUGCGCGGCGCUAUAGCGCCUCGCUAGUGGGCCCCCGCGCGAAACCCGCACUAGGCCACUAGAUC
rfam:Rubella virus strain F-therin, complete genome.